rnacentral:lncRNA from 1 species
UCUCAAGAAAAUAGGAAAUGGCACAAUUAAAUCCAGUAAAAUUCACACAUAAACUAGACAUAUAAGAGAUGGCUCAUGCAAAAUUUCACAUUAAUUGGAAGCCAGGAAGCAUGUCAACAAAAAUCAUGAAAUUGCAUAUCAAUGGUGUGACACAAAUUGUCACACCCUACUUCCAAAAUUCAUAUCUCACAAACCACAUAUGAUAAAUUCAAGAACUCUACAUCAAAACAAACAUGAAUGAGUGUAGAUUAACCACAAAAAAUUUCAGAGUCAUUGGAUACAUCAUCACAAUUUCACAAAAGGAUUGGCAAAAGGUAUGAAAUGUGCAUACAUGUCAAGAAACCUAAUACCAUUUAAAAUCCAGCCAACCAAAAAUUCAGCAAAAAUCAUGAUAAA